GAUGAACGCUGGCGGCGUGCCUAAUACAUGCAAGUAGAGCGCACAGAUGAUACGCUUGCUCGUCAGACGAUAGCGGCGGACGGGUGAGUAACACGUGGAUACCCUACUUAUAAGACUGGGAUCACUUCGGGAAUCCGGAGAUCAUAACGGAUAAUCUAUUGAACUUCAUGGUUCAAUAGUGAAUGAUGGAUUUGCUGUCUCUUAUAGCUGGAUCCGCGCCGCAUUAGCUAGUUGGUAAGAUAACGGCUUACCAAGGCAACGAUGCGUAGCCGACCUGAGAGGUUGAUCGGCCAACCUGGAACUGGGAAACGGUCCAGACUCCUACGGGAGGAAGAAGUAGGGAAUCUUCCGCAAGGGGCGAAAGCUGGACGGAGCAACGCGGCGGGAGGGAUGAAGGUUUUCGGAUCGUAAAACUCUGUUAUUAGGGAGGAACAAAUGUGUAAGUAACUAUGCACGUCUUGACGGUACCUUAUCAGAAAGCCACGGCUAACUACGUG
rnacentral:rRNA from 1 species